AGCAGCCGCGGUAAUUCCAGCUCCAAUAGCGUAUAUUAAAGUUGUUGCAGUUAAAAAGCUCGUAGUUGAAUUUCGGGGUCUGUCCGUCGGUCGGGCUUCACGGUCCGUACUGGUGUGAUGGGUUCCUACCUUCUGAAUAACCGGCAUGCCAUUCAGUUGGUGCGCCGGGGAAGCAGAGCUAUUACCUUGAAAAAAUUAGAGUGCUUAAAGCAGGCUAGUGCUUGAAUAGAUUAGCAUGGAAUAAUAAAAUAGGACGGCAUGGUUUUAUUUUGUUGGUUUCUAGGAUCACCGUAAUGAUUAAUAGGGAUAGUUGGGGGCAUUAGUAUUCAAUUGUCAGAGGUGAAAUUCUUGGAUUUAUUGAAGACUAACUUCUGCGAAAGCAUUUGCCAAGGAUGUUUUCAUUAAUCAAGAACGAAAGUUAGGGGAUCGAAGACGAUCAGAUACCGUCGUAGUCUUAACCAUAAACUAUGCCGACUAGGGAUCGGGCGAUGUUAAUUUUUUAAUGACUUUCGCGGCGCCU
rnacentral:rRNA from 1 species